UACGUAGGGUGCGAGCGUUGUCCGGAAUUAUUGGGCGUAAAGAGCUCGUAGGCGGUCUGUCACGUCGGUCGUGAAAACUUGGGGCUUAACCCUGAGCUUGCGGUCGAUACGGGCAUGACUGGAGUUCGGCAGGGGAGACUGGAAUUCCUGGUGUAGCGGUGAAAUGCGCAGAUAUCAGGAGGAACACCGAUGGCGAAGGCAGAUCUCUGGGCCGUAACUGACACUGAGAGACGAAAGCUAGGGGAGCAAAUGGG
rnacentral:rRNA from 1 species